rnacentral:lncRNA from 1 species
CCCUUCGUGAAGCGACGAGCCUUCUUUGUCUCAAUAGAAAUCAGCUCUGGGGUAAACCUAGAUAAUUGUACAAACUUAGUGGCAUAAUGACUUACCGUCAAGUUGUUCUAGCAGAGGUUCUAAAAUUCUUCCUCCUCUUCUCUCUAACCCAAAUAGGAAAGAAGCUCUGAUGAAAAGCCUUAAAGAGAUGGUCCAAAAAAUAAGACUCGCAAUGCAUCCUUCUUGAGUCUUCAAUAGUGUUUAGGCUCACCAGUGAAAAUAAAUGCUUCUAAUGGACCUUUUGUUCAUCAAUGAUAUCCAGAAUAUAAAACCUCUUCUCAAUAUGAAGGAUCUAUUUCUCUCCAACCAUGGGAUUUGGACCACCAUUAAAGGAUGGAGGGUUUAUCCUCUAGAACUCAGAAAUUUUGUUAGUUAUGGCCUUAUUGUGGUUCACUUAGUCUUCCCCAAGGCGAGGGUGAUCAUCACAAUGGACCUGUUGGCCCACAACAUGCGUUAGGCCCUAAAUGGCUUGAAACAGCUCAGUAAACUCAACCUUGGUAUGAGCAUCAUUUGACGUUUUAGCAGAUGGUCUUCCUCGUGGCAUAAUGACCUACACAAAGUAAACAACUACAUAGAGAUAGAAAAUUUUCCUAAGUAAUCUAGGGUUUCCAUAUUUAAUUAAAAAGUAAGUUUCUCUAACUAAAUUGGAUCCAAACCCUAAGCCUCAAUGUAAUACAUGCCCUAUGAUUUUGCUCUGAUACCACCUAUGAUAUCCAGAUGCCAAUUGGGCACCGACAUCUAGCUGAAUAAACUAAAAAUGCAUUUAAUAACCAAAAUGCGGAAUAUUCAUCCCUUAUAUUAAUUACAAUCAUAAUGUAUUCAUCCUACAUACAAAUGUUAUGGAUU